rnacentral:rRNA from 1 species
GACGAACGCUGGCGGCGUGCCUAAUACAUGCCAGUAGAACGCUGAAGCUUUGUGCUUGCACCGAGCGGAUGAGUUGCGAACGGGUGAGUAACGCGUAGGUAACCUGCUUGGUAGCGGGGGAUAACUAUUUGAAACGAUAGCUAAUACCGCAUAAGAGUAGAUGUUGCAUGACAUUUGCUUAAAUGGUGCAAUUGCAUCACUACCAGAUGGACCUGCGUUGUAUUAGGUAGUUGGUGAGGUAACGGCUCACCAAGGCAACGAUACAUAGCCGACCUGAGAGGGUGAACGGCCACACUGGGACUGAGACACGGGCCAGACUCCUACGGGAGGGAGCAGGAGGGAAACAUCGGAAAUGGACGGAAGGCUGGCCGAGGAAAGCCGCGUGAGGGAAGAAGGGUUUCGGAUCGUAAAGCUCUGUUGUAAGGGAAGAAAGAGUGUGAGAGUGGAAAGUUCACGCUGUGACGGUAUCUUACCAGAAAGGGACGGCUAACUACGUG